AACACAGUACAAAGGUGGACGCUGGUGUAAUCCAUCCCACAUGUUGGCAUUCCUGAGGAGAACUGAAAGCACACAGUUGUAAAAUUCCAGUCUUGUGCCGCAACCUUAUUCCAAGCUUAUUUGAAGGAUGUGUUCUCCACAACUUUGCAGCCAACAGCAAACAGAGUUGUUUCUCAAAAACUCUGCCCUGAAGGUUGUGUGUGUGUUAAGAGAGUUUGUAUCUUUGACUGGUGAACAACAGAUUGGACAGGACCACCACACAACUUUGGGUCAUCACAAGGCUUUACCAGCCUGCAACAUGUCGCAGAGGACAGUCCCUGGCAGCGAGACACCGCUUUCCUCCCGGUUACUGGCAGCUAUAUAGUCCACAACAGCAGCUGUGACUCGCCUCCAGGAGAAAGUGCUCGUCUAACCACACAUGACCACGUCCGAGUUUUGUGCACUUCGGGAGCUUCUCGAUUUGCAGACACCGAGUGUUGAGGUGCCAGUUUCCAUGACUCCCCUGCAGAAUGUCAGAAAUGCUCCAGUGAUGAGCUUCAGUGAUCAUGACAGUCUGGUGGGUUUGGUCUGGUAUUAUUGUAACUUCCUGUGGCUAACCGCAAAGCCGCGGGUGUGCAAACACAGACACACAAACAAUCACACACCUGAGAUGUUUUUGUUUCCUGCGAGCUGAUGUUACAAACCUGGCAGGUUGUGUGAAUAUACUCUACAUGGCCAAAAAACAUGCAAACACUUGAGAAUAACACCAAUAUGUUCUUGUUGAAUUUAUGGUGUUUUGGUUUUUUUUUUGACACCUUUAUUUUUUUGUAGAGA